AUUGAACGCUGGCGGCAUGCCAUACACAUGCAAGUCGAACGGCAGCACGGGAGCAAUCCUGGUGGCGAGUGGCGAACGGGUGAGUAAUAUAUCGGAACGUGCCCAGUCGUGGGGGAUAACGCAGCGAAAGCUGUGCUAAUACCGCAUACGAUCUAUGGAUGAAAGCGGGGGAUCGCAAGACCUCGCGCGAUUGGAGCGGCCGAUAUCAGAUUAGCUAGUUGGUGAGGUAAAGGCUCACCAAGGCGACGAUCUGUAGCUGGUCUGAGAGGACGACCAGCCACACUGGAACUGAGACACGGUCCAGACUCCUACGGGAGGCAGCAGUGGGGAAUUUUGGACAAUGGGCGAAAGCCUGAUCCAGCAAUGCCGCGUGCAGGAUGAAGGCCUUCGGGUUGUAAACUGCUUUUGUACGGAACGAAACGGUGAGCUCUAAUACAGUUUGCUAAUGACGGUACCGUAAGAAUAAGCACCGGCUAACUACGUGCCAGCAGCCGCCGUAA
rnacentral:rRNA from 1 species